UUGAGAAAAACAAAACCAAAAAACCCCAAAGCAUCGCGAAGGCCCACGGCGGGUGUUGACUCGAUGUGAUUUCUGCCCAGUGCUCUGAAGGUCAAUGUGAAGAAAUGUGACUCUCUU